CGUUUUCGUUUUGUUUCUUCAUACAGUUGCGACUAUUUCCUAAAAAUUAUUCCACUUUUUAACUUUUAAGCGCUCAUCAAUGAUUGCAGCUCUUUUCCGUUUGUUAUCAAACCAGUAGUUAUCAAUUCUUUUUCCAAUUCAUCCGUUUUUGUUAGAAAUAUAUAAACUGUAGUUUCUUAUUAAAAGUCUUCCAUUGGUGUUUUCUCCAUUCUCCUUCCAUUCGCUUAUGGAGGAAGUCUGUUCAUGUUAGUCUAUUUCCUCUUAGCCUGUAGGUUUUCCUGAUGCAUUCUUCCAUUUCUUCUUCAAAUACUUCAUAAUAUUUUUCCCUUGCAGGUUCCCACUGAGAUAUCAUUCAGAGAGCUGUGCUUUGUAGAAGGGAGUAUUCCUGUGUCUUGAAUCCAGUUAACAGUUUAAUUCAUUCGCAUUCCAAACUCAAGUCUGAUUUUUGAAACACGAUGCCAGAGAAGGUUGAUUUAUUGUAUCAUCAAUAUCAUUGACUGAUGAUCAAGUAGAUGAUAUAAAGGGUAAUGAUCAUUUAAAUGCUGAAUCAGUGGAUGUUGAUCCUAGCAUUGAUGAGACAGGAGCAAAUGGUGUUGAAGAUAGUAACAAUAGAAAUGAUUCUUGGGCUUGAUAUCUGCGCUGACACAAUGGGUGGUGAUGCAUAAGAUAAAGGCAUUCCAGGUGGACAGAAGAACAGGCUUACAACAGAGAUAUUGACAAAGUAAUGGGCACUCCCUCAAAAGUUAACUUGCCUGACAGAAAAAGCUGGGGGUUUCUUGUAGGUGGUCGUCAUGUAUAAUCCUCUUGCAUGUUAUCGAUACUUCAACUUUUAGUGUUAACCUUGAUAAGAAUAUUCAAAACAAGUUUCAACGUAGAAAGGGUAUUGUUCAUUUAGAGAUGUCAUAUCUUGAUCUGAAGACCUGGAGAUGGGAAAAAAUGAUGGAUCUGUUGUUCGAGGUUAAGCUUGGUGUUGCUGAUAAUUAGACUUAUCGGCAAGGGGCUAGAUGGGACUGUUUUCACGAGCCCAGGUACAAAAACAUGGUAGUUCCAGGUAGUACCAGAAAUCGAUAUCUUGUAAUUUGGUGCAAAAACAUCCCAGUUAGGAGUGUCGUUUGGGUUGCCCACCAUGACAAACCAAUCAAAGACAACUCUAGCAUGCCAAGCAUAAACAGAGGGACAUAUCGUGAUUCUCAACCAAAGUCACUUCCUCUUGUUUGACCCUUCUCCUGGACACUUCUUAUGGGAGCUUGUAAAUCAUAAUAACUCAGAUAUCAGCAGAGGGAAUAGUGACUGCAUCAUCUUGUUUGGAGAUCUAAAUGAUGUAAGACAGGUUUCAGCUG